GUAGUGUAGCCCAGGCUCUUCGGGUGCAUGGUGAUGGAUUGAAGCUGACAGCCAGAGUUACAGUUCUAAGCUCCCAGCUGGUCAGUUGGUUUCGCAAGUACAAUGUUGCAAGAGUCAUUUAUCGGAAGUGUGAAUCCAGAGAGCUGGGUGCUUGAGGUGACAGCUGCUGGAUCUGGGCCUUAGAGAAACACCUCGGAAGAGCCAAGGCAAGGCGGCAGUGCUGGCUCACUUGUUAACUGUGAAAUCGGGAGAUGAGGUCUCACUACAUCACCUGGGGACUGGUCAUGAAUUCAUGGAUGACCGGCCUGUCUCAUCCCUUUUGAGUAAACCCGGUUCUGAGGGCCCACUGUGCAUCUACCAUAGGCUCACUGUGUGCCCACUGCAGAUCUCCUUCCAAACAGACAGCAAGUCCUCUGAAGAUCCACUGCAGAUGCAUGCAGCCUUUCCCCUGGCUGGGAUGAGACGGAGGAACUUGCAGCCCCAGGAGCCUACAGUGAAGGGGCUUUUGGAUUCCUAAUGAGAACUUGAACUUUGAAAAUCAUUGGAAUGCUGUAAAGACUGCAGGACUUUCUAAGUGGUAUCAUCUUUUAUGGUAUCAAUGUGAGA